UCAUGGCUCAGGACGAAUCGCUGGCGGCGUGCCUAAUACAUGCAAGUCGAACGAACUCUGGUAUUGAUUGGUGCUUGCAUCAUGAUUUACAUUUGAGUGAGUGGCGAACUGGUGAGUAACACGUGGGAAACCUGCCCAGAAGCGGGGGAUAACACCUGGAAACAGAUGCUAAUACCGCAUAACAACUUGGACCGCAUGGUCCGAGCUUGAAAGAUGGCUUCGGCUAUCACUUUUGGAUGGUCCCGCGGCGUAUUAGCUAGAUGGUGGGGUAACGGCUCACCAUGGCAAUGAUACGUAGCCGACCUGAGAGGGUAAUCGGCCACAUUGGGACUGAGACACGGCCCAAACUCCUACGGGAGGCAGCAGUAGGGAAUCUUCCACAAUGGACGAAAGUCUGAUGGAGCAACGCCGCGUGAGUGAAGAAGGGUUUCGGCUCGUAAAACUCUGUUGUUAAAGAAGAACAUAUCUGAGAGUAACUGUUCAGGUAUUGACGGUAUUUAACCAGAAAGCCACGGCUAACUACGUGCCAGCAGCCGCGGUAAUACGUAGGUGGCAAGCGUUGUCCGGAUUUAUUGGGCGUAAAGCGAGCGCAGGCGGUUUUUUAAGUCUGAUGUGAAAGCCUUCGGCUCAACCGAAGAAGUGCAUCGGAAACUGGGAAACUUGAGUGCAGAAGAGGACAGUGGAACUCCAUGUGUAGCGGUGAAAUGCGUAGAUAUAUGGAAGAACACCAGUGGCGAAGGCGGCUGUCUGGUCUGUAACUGACGCUGAGGCUCGAAAGUAUGGGUAGCAAACAGGAUUAGAUACCCUGGUAGUCCAUACCGUAAACGAUGAAUGCUAAGUGUUGGAGGGUUUCCGCCCUUCAGUGCUGCAGCUAACGCAUUAAGCAUUCCGCCUGGGGAGUACGGCCGCAAGGCUGAAACUCAAAGGAAUUGACGGGGGCCCGCACAAGCGGUGGAGCAUGUGGUUUAAUUCGAAGCUACGCGAAGAACCUUACCAGGUCUUGACAUACUAUGCAAAUCUAAGAGAUUAGACGUUCCCUUCGGGGACAUGGAUACAGGUGGUGCAUGGUUGUCGUCAGCUCGUGUCGUGAGAUGUUGGGUUAAGUCCCGCAACGAGCGCAACCCUUAUUAUCAGUUGCCAGCAUUAAGUUGGGCACUCUGGUGAGACUGCCGGUGACAAACCGGAGGAAGGUGGGGAUGACGUCAAAUCAUCAUGCCCCUUAUGACCUGGGCUACACACGUGCUACAAUGGAUGGUACAACGAGUUGCGAACUCGCGAGAGUAAGCUAAUCUCUUAAAGCCAUUCUCAGUUCGGAUUGUAGGCUGCAACUCGCCUACAUGAAGUCGGAAUCGCUAGUAAUCGCGGAUCAGCAUGCCGCGGUGAAUACGUUCCCGGGCCUUGUACACACCGCCCGUCACACCAUGAGAGUUUGUAACACCCAAAGUCGGUGGGGUAACCUUUUAGGAACCAGCCGCCUAAGUGGGACAGAUG
rnacentral:rRNA from 1 species